UACGGGGGGGGCAAGCGUUGUUCGGAAUUACUGGGCGUAAAGGGCUCGUAGGCGGCCUACUAAGUCAGACGUGAAAUCCCUCAGCUUAACUGGGGAACUGCGUGUGAUACUGGAUGGCUUGGAUUUGGGAGAGGGAUGCGGAAUUCCAGGUGUAGCGGUGAAAUGCGUAGAUAUCUGGAGGAACACCGGUGGCGAAGGCGGCAUCCUGGACCAAUAUUGACGCUGAGGAGCGAAAGCCAGGGGAGCAAACGGG
rnacentral:rRNA from 1 species